AACCACCUCACAUUCCCUGAACGUACUUCUUUCAUCACCUGUGCAGGUCAUUACCUGGGUAACCUACGUCAGGGCCCGGAUAAAAGACAGAGACCCGAACCCAUCUCUCUCUCUCACUUCCUCACUUCUUCACCACCCUUCAGUAAAGGACCUCUUUGGUGGGAACCAUGCUGGUUCAGUUCAGGGAACAAGUCGCCUUUCAACUAACAGACCCUUGCUCCUGUCUCAGAAUCUACGUGAGCAAAGGCUGAGCAGAACAUGGGAUGCCAACCUGCGUAAGUAAGACGUGAAUCUGCCAUCAUCCAUAAGAGAUCCACAGGAUCACCAGAAGAAGCUCAAAGGUAAUGUGCCGCAGUGAAACUCCUCCAAAACUCUGACGGUGUCUUCCACAAAAAAAGUCUCCAGCAACCCAUCUGCCUUCCAUCACACGGAACGAAGGCCACCUGAGAUGCGCUGAUGGCUCUCUGAACGGAAGCGACAAGAGAGUGCUUCGCCAGAGUCAAGUCACUUCCGGGCACCUCGUCCCUCAACCAAGAUCCCUCUCUGGGGAAACUUGAAGGGAAAGCCUCAGUUUGCCACCAUUCUGCGGACUGUGUGCAAUUGACCAGUCUCAUAACUGUGUGUCAGAGGUGGGGUGGGGCGGGGGGAGUCUUUACAGAAACUAUUUCAUCCCCUUCAGGUUCUGAACAUUUCCAUUUUUGCAAAUGAAUGCUGCAUGUUUUACACCCUCACAUGCACUGAAAUUAUCUAUACAGAAAUGACAUUCCCCACUGCAACAACUGACUGUAAGUCACAUUUUUCUAAACGUAGCAUUCAGUUCAGUCAUUCAGAGAAGGUAGGAUUGGGGCAGACCUCUCACGAAUCUUGACCCCUUCUGCUCCUAUCAUCCUGGACCAGUGGGCAUUUCUGUAGUCAGAGCCUCUUCUCCCUGAUUUUCAAUGUGGUGCUUGACCUGACAGUCUCUGAGAUGCUGAUGCUAAGGUCGACACCCAGACGGCCAAAUUAAAAUAUGGAUAUUGUCCUUUGAAACCAUUACCAUCAAGGAAAUGCUUCUAAAGCAGCCAGGUCCCUGUGGUGUAACAAUGGCCCCUGACCUCGUAGGUCUUCAGAUGAGAACCACUUCAUGGAUACACCUAAUAAAGACUCUGUCCAAUCAAAACUUAAGGCCCCACCUUUCUGGAAAGACAAGGAAGUGAACCAGUCCUGCGAAAGCAAAUUGCCUGGGAGUCUUCCUGCUCUUAGAAUCUAUUUUUCUCCCACCGGAUAUUGACUUGAGAGAAACAGGGAAGAGAAAACACACUGGGGGACCAUAUUUAAUACGAUGGCGGGCGUGGGUGCUGUGGGGUAAUACGAUUGAAACGCGAAUAUCCGAUCUGUUAGAAUCAAACACACGUUUGCUGACGCAUUCAAAUGAUUAAUACCUAAAAGAGUGUUUCAGCUAGAGUGGUUUAAGGAGGGAAAAACCUUUUUAAGGUACACUUUAAAGACGACCUUAAAUAGUAUAGUAGAUAGGCUAGAAUACAGGUGCUGCCAUCUCCAUAGCAGUGGUUACUGCAACACAAUCUGGUUUGGCCAGUGACAUCAUUAUUAUUUCUAUAAGCAAGCCACAUGGCAGCAUACUUCUAGGGGCUGGAGAAAUGGCUCCACAGGUAAAAGCACUGGCUGCUCUAACAGGGGACCUGGGUUCUGUCCCCAGUACCCACAUGGUGACUCACUGCCACCUGUAACUCUAAGUCCAGGGGAUCUGAAACUCUCUUCUGGCUUCUACAAGCACUGGGGACACACAUGGUACACAUACAGAUAUUAGAAGCAGAACCGUUGUCUAUGGAUACUAGUGAAAUC